UUACCAUACUUGCUUGUGGUUCACUGUAGUCGUGUGUCCUGAAUUAUGUUUGCUGCUCUCAAAUAAACCCGUUUUGUUGGUAAAAUAACUUGCUGUUUUAAGAUUGCACUGAAGUCUCAUAGAGCUCCAGAGAAGAACACUGACAACUCCAAGUGUGGCCUAGUCCACGGAGCUCAUGCUGUCUCGCUGACCCUGAAAUCUGAGGGGUGCUGCUCUCUGAAGGAUGGAUGACUGAAUGGAUUUUGGAGCAGGAAGAAAGCACGGGCCAAACUGGUUUUAACCUUGCAAACCAGCACAGAUGAUAGCAAAGCUUCCCAAACUAGAGCUGCAAAGCCUCUGAUGUCCUCAAGUUGGGCUUGACUGAACUACCUUAUCUGAAGACAGUGCUGUUCCAAAUGGCUGUUACGUUCUUCCAAGACCAGUGGAAUAGCAGCCGAGGCAAUAGAAGCGCAGGAGGGAGCAAGCCUAAUCCAUGCCUUUCAAGAUACUGCGUCCAUCACAUCUGUCACCGUGCUGUCAGCCAGGGCACAUCACAUGCUGCAGCUGAUGCACCACAGUUUAUUUCAACAACCUCCCAUUAAGAGAUUAUUAGCUUUUCGCUGUUACAAGCAAUGCAGCGAUGACUAAAUACACGUCAUCUUUCGUAUAUACCAGUAUCUCUUUGAGUAAAUGCUGAGACGUGAACUUCAAAAU